AUGGCGGCCACCGGAGCUUUCCUGAGGGACGCGCCUCUACAGGACAUCGGAAAAAACAUCUACACCAUCCGGGAGGUGGUGAGAGAGAUUCGAGACAAGGCCACGGCACAGGUGACUGGCAGUGCUGCCCUACCACCUUCGGUUCAAGGAGCCCUUCCCAGAGUAUGUGCGGCUAGUGACUGAGUUUUCCAAGAAAACUGGGGACUACCCCAGCCUCUCUGCCACAGACACCCAGGUGCUGGCUCUGACUUACCAGCUAGAAGCAGAAUUUGUCGGGGUGUCUCAUCUAAAAAAAGAACCAGAAAAGGUUAAAGUGACCUCUUCAAUUCAGCACCCUGAAACUCCUCUGCACAUUUCUGGUUUCCAUCUGCCCUCCAAGUCUAAACCCUUACAAGAAACGGUGGAUCCGGGCCAACCAGCUGAUGGGCCUGAGAACCUGGAAUUCAGUUCCUUCAUGUUCGGGAGGAACCUUUUGCCUAACAUUGACCAUGAACUGCAAGAGCUGCUGAUUGAUGGAAGGGAGGAGGAGGAGAAGGAGGAGGAGGAGGAGGAUGAUGACGACGAUGGAGGUGGAUGGAGAACCUCUAGUAACAUCAAGCAGAUCCAGUAAGAGUUGGAGCAGUGUGACAUCCCAAAGGACGUGCAAGUUGGCUGUGUGACCACAGACUUCUCCAUGCAAAAUGUUCUACUUGAGAUGGGGCUGCACAUGCUGGCAGUAAACCGCAUGCUGGUCAGAGAGGCCUGGAGCUACAUCCUGCACUGUCAUGGCUGUUUCAAGACGACAUCGGACAUGAACCGAGUGUUCUGUGGGUACUGUGGGAACAAGACCCUGAAGAAAGUGUCUGUGACUAUCAAUGACGACGGUACCUUGCACAUGCAUUUCUCCCGAAACCACAAAGUUCUGAACCCACGAGGCCUCCGAUACUCACUACCAGCUCCAAAAGGGGGCAAAUACACCAUUAGCCUGCAUCUGACCGAAGAUCAGUGCUUCCCCCAGCUGCAACUCUCCCACAAGGCCAGGCAGAAGACCAACAGGUUUGCCCCUGACUACAUAGCUGGGGUUUCUCCCUUUGCAGAGAAUGACAUCUCCAGCCGCUAAGCCCUCCUGCAAGUCCAGGACAGCAUGUUGGGAGCUGGGAGGAGAUGCUUAAAUCCCAAUACUUCCAGAAGUUUGUAA